UUUUUAUAGGUUGUGUAUGAUUCUUUGCAUAUGUCACCAUACUUGAAUUAAGUAAGUACGUCAUUAAGAUUCGAGGGUCUGUUGUAGUAGUUCUUUGUAUUGGAUAAAGAAGGCAAGGCUUAUUGAACAGUGUUCAUACCUACAUAGAUCUACAUAAAAUUAAAAUCUAUGUAGUUAAAGACGCUGUUCAUUAAACCUUGCCUCCUUCAUAUUCCGAAUGUCUUAGGCAAUGUCUUAUGAGAUGGUCUCAGGCAUGGUGAU
rnacentral:rRNA from 1 species